rnacentral:rRNA from 1 species
UACGUAGGGGGCAAGCGUUGUCCGGAAUCAUUGGGCGUAAAGCGCGUGUAGGCGGCUUGGUAAGUCCGCUCUAAAAGCCCGGGGCUCAACCCCGGGAGGCGGGUGGAUACUGUCAAGCUCGAGUCCGGAAGAGGCGAGUGGAAUUCCUGGUGUAGCGGUGAAAUGCGCAGAUAUCAGGAGGAACACCAAUGGCGAAGGCAGCUCGCUGGGACGUGACUGACGCUGAGACGCGAAAGCGUGGGGAGCAAACAGG